CGUGGACGGUACACAGGGGAGCUUGCUCCUCGGGUGACGAGUGGCGGACGGGUGAGUAAUGUCUGGGAAACUGCCCGAUGGAGGGGGAUAACUACUGGAAACGGUAGCUAUACCGCAUACGUCGCAAGACCAAAGUGGGGGACCUCCGGGCCUCACACCAUCGGAUGUGCCCAGAUGGGAUUAGCUUGUAGGCGGGGUAACGGCCCACCUAGGCGACGAUCCCUAGCUGGUCUGAGAGGAUGCCAGCCACACUGGAACUGGACACGGUCCAGACUCCUACGGGAGGCAGCAGUGGGGAAUAUUGCACAAUGGGCGCAAGCCUGUGCAGCCAUGCCGCGUGUAUGGAAGGCCUUCGGGUUGUAUACUUUCAGCGGGGAGGAAGGUGUGAGGUUAAUAACCUCACAAUUGACGUUACCCGCAGAAGAAGCACCGGCUAACUCCGUGCCAGCAGCCGCGGUAAUACGGAGGGUGCAAGCGUUAAUCGGAAUUACUGGGCGUAAAGCGCACGCAGGCGGUCUGUUAAGUCAGAUGUGUCCCCGGGCUUACCUGGGAACUGCAUUUGAAACUGGCAGGCUUGAGUCUCGUAGAGGGGGGUAUUCCAGGUGUAGCGGUGAAAUGCGUAGAGAUCUGGAGGAAUACCGGUGGCGAAGGCGGCCCCCUGGACGAAGACUGACGCUCAGGUGCGAAAGCGUGGGGAGCAAACAGGAUUAUACCCUGGUAGUCCACGCCGUAAACGAUGUCGACUUGGAGGUUGUUCCCUUGAGGAGUGGCUUCCGGAGCUACGCGUUAAGUCGACCGCCUGGGGAGUACGGCCGCAAGGUUAAAACUCAAAUGAAUUGCGGGGCCCGCACAAGCGGUGGAGCAUGUGGUUUAAUUCGAUGCACCGCAAGAACUUUACCUACUCUUGACAUCCGCGAACUUUGCGAAGAUGGCUUGGUGCCCGGAACG
rnacentral:rRNA from 1 species